CAGGCAUUUUGCCUGAGAAGGUUAGAUGGGAGAGGGAGAGGCUGCUACUAGUGGAACUGGUUACCUUGAAGAACACUUUUUUCCUCCCUCCUCAGAUGCCGUGCUGUGCCAUCGUCUGUGUUGAAUCUGAAUACUGGUAUAUGUCCAAAAACACUGAGGCAGUGAGAUGGAGGGCACAAGGAACUGGCAAAAUGGGAUGGAUGAGGAAACCAAGGCCCACAGGGCAAAAUGAAUGACCCAAAGUUAUACUGAGAGUAAUAGACUUGGAAGUAGAAGUUUGUUGAUUUUCUCCACUAAAUGAAUACUUCUCUGCCUUAAAAAGCUAUUGUUGUCAGUCCUUCAUUUUUGAAGAGGACCAAGGCAUUAAAGGAUUAUGUCUUGACUUGCACAUAAAUUGGAUUUUAG
rnacentral:lncRNA from 1 species